CAAAUUAGAGCUAUUAGAGUAUUUUAUUUACAUUAAAAAGGUUAUUUAUUAAAAUAUGAUUUGA
rnacentral:tRNA from 1 species